rnacentral:rRNA from 1 species
AUUGCACUCUGGCGGCAGGCCUAACACAUGCAAGUCGAGCGGUAGCACAUAGAGCUUGCUCUCGGGUGACGAGCGGCGGACGGGUGAGUAAUGUCUGGGAAACUGCCUGAUGGAGGGGGAUAACUACUGGAAACGGUAGCUAAUACCGCAUAACGUCGCAAGACCAAAGUGGGGGACCUUCGGGCCUCAUGCCAUCAGAUGUGCCCAGAUGGGAUUAGCUAGUAGGUGGGGUAACGGCUCACCUAGGCGACGAUCCCUAGCUGGUCUGAGAGGAUGACCAGCCACACUGGAACUGAGACACGGUCCAGACUCCUACGGGAGGCAGCAGUGGGGAAUAUUGCACAAUGGGCGCAAGCCUGAUGCAGCCAUGCCGCGUGUGUGAAGAAGGCCUUCGGGUUGUAAAGCACUUUCAGCGGGGAAGAAGGCGGUGAGGUUAAUAACCUUGUCGAUUGACGUUACCCGCAGAAGAAGCACCGGCUAACUCCGUGCCAGCAGCCGCGGUAAUACGGAGGGUGCAAGCGUUAAUCGGAAUUACUGGGCGUAAAGCGCACGCAGGCGGUCUGUCAAGUCGGAUGUGAAAUCCCCGGGCUCAACCUGGGAACUGCAUUCGAAACUGGCAGGCUAGAGUCUUGUAGAGGGGGGUAGAAUUCCAGGUGUAGCGGUGAAAUGCGUAGAGAUCUGGAGGAAUACCGGUGGCGAAGGCGGCCCCCUGGACAAAGACUGACGCUCAGGUGCGAAAGCGUGGGGAGCAAACAGGAUUAGAUACCCUGGUAGUCCACGCCGUAAACGAUGUCGAUUUGGAGGUUGUGCCCUUGAGGCGUGGCUUCCGGAGCUAACGCGUUAAAUCGACCGCCUGGGGAGUACGGCCGCAAGGUUAAAACUCAAAUGAAUUGACGGGGGCCCGCACAAGCGGUGGAGCAUGUGGUUUAAUUCGAUGCAACGCGAAGAACCUUACCUGGUCUUGACAUCCACAGAACUUUCCAGAGAUGGAUUGGUGCCUUCGGGAACUGUGAGACAGGUGCUGCAUGGCUGUCGUCAGCUCGUGUUGUGAAAUGUUGGGUUAAGUCCCGCAACGAGCGCAACCCUUAUCCUUUGUUGCCAGCGGUUAGGCCGGGAACUCAAAGGAGACUGCCAGUGAUAAACUGGAGGAAGGUGGGGAUGACGUCAAGUCAUCAUGGCCCUUACGACCAGGGCUACACACGUGCUACAAUGGCAUAUACAAAGAGAAGCGACCUCGCGAGAGCAAGCGGACCUCAUAAAGUAUGUCGUAGUCCGGAUUGGAGUCUGCAACUCGACUCCAUGAAGUCGGAAUCGCUAGUAAUCGUAGAUCAGAAUGCUACGGUGAAUACGUUCCCGGGCCU